UAGCUUUUUCAUGAUUCGGUGGAUGGUGGUGCAUGGCCGUUCUUAGUUCGUGGAGCGAUUUGUCUGGUUUAUUCCGAUAACGAGCGAGACUCUAGCCUACUAAAUAGUUGGCUCAUUGCUUCUGUGGGCACAACUUCUUAGAGGGAUUUUCGGUGUUCAGCCGCACGAAAUUGAGCAAUAACAGGUCUGUGAUGCCCUUAGAUGUCCGGGGCUGCACGCGCGCUACACUGGCAAAAUCAGCGUGCUUGUCCUUCCCCGGAAAGGGGUUGGUAAACCGGUGAAAAUUUGCCGUGAUUGGGAUCGGACAUUGCAAUUAUUGUCCGUGAACGAGGAAUUCCUUGUAGGGGCGAGUCAUCAACUCGCUCU
rnacentral:rRNA from 1 species